rnacentral:rRNA from 1 species
UACGGAGGGGGCUAGCGUUGUUCGGAAUUACUGGGCGUAAAGCGCGCGUAGGCGGCUUUGUAAGUUAGAGGUGAAAGCCCGGAGCUCAACUCCGGAACUGCCUUUAAGACUGCAUCGCUAGAACGUCGGAGAGGUAAGUGGAAUUCCGAGUGUAGAGGUGAAAUUCGUAGAUAUUCGGAAGAACACCAGUGGCGAAGGACGACUU